CCUACGGGAGGCAGCAGUGGGGAAUUUUGGACAAUGGGGGCAACCCUGAUCCAGCAAUGCCGCGUGAGUGAAGAAGGCCUUCGGGUUGUAAAGCUCUUUUGUCAGGGAAGAAACAGCAGCUCUAACACAGCUGUGAAUGACGGUACCUGAAGAAUAAGCACCGGCUAACUACGUGCCAGCAGCCGCGGUAAUACGUAGGGUGCAAGCGUUAAUCGGAAUUACUGGGCGUAAAGCGUGCGCAGGCGGUUAUAUAAGACAGGUGUGAAAUCCCCGGGCUUAACCUGGGAAUUGCAUCUGUGACUGUAUAGCUAGAGUGUGUCAGAGGGGGGUAGAAUUCCACGUGUAGCAGUGAAAUGCGUAGAUAUGUGGAGGAAUACCAAUGGCGAAGGCAGCCCCCCUGGGAUAACACUGACGCUCAUGCACGAAAGCGUGGGGAGCAAACAGGAUUAGAUACCCUGGUAGUCCACGCCCUAAACGAUGCUGACUAGUUGUUCGGGAUUUUAUCCUGAGUAACGUAGCUAACGCGUGAAGUCNGCGCCGUGGUAGGUUCGGUUCGUCGAGAGUUAAACGUUAAAGGUUAAGUUAGACGGCGUUGAGACGUUGCCGACGGACGACGACGAGGGAGGAGG
rnacentral:rRNA from 1 species